AUCAAUCACUUUCCCACAUUUUCUCACCCAAUCAGACAACUUAUCUCUCUUUCUUCUUGACCAAUCAGAAAACCUCUCUUUUUCUCUUAUUCUUCUUCUUCUUCUCUCACUCCGAGCCUCUCUCUUCCAUGUGCAACACAAAGAAUCAUCAUCAAACCUCACAAGAUCGACCCUUAAAUCACCACUAUCAUGCUCCCCUCAUGCUCACGAGUCCAUCUGUACGAGCCGAUCUUAAAGUGGUUGAGUUUUGAGUGUCCAACUCGAAGUUCCGACUCGAGUGUAGAUUUUUCUAAUGAUUUUCCGUUCGAGUUGCACGGUUUUGGAAGGUUUGGAAACAUCUAGAAAACUCUCUGGAGUCCCUAGCCUAAGUUCGAAGUGGAGCCAUUGUGAAAACACAUGGUUUUAAGACGACUAAAAUAGGUCCGAGACUUUUAAGGCUUUUUCAGUCUAUUUCCGUCCACUUUUUGGACUUUUGAAAUAAACCAGCAAAACCAAAUAGUCGCGGCGAACUGCGGACGACGGAGGACAACCGAAGAAGAAGGAGAAUAUUCCGUUAAAGUUAACGCAAUAUUCUGACGCCAUUAAACUUAACGGAAUAUUCCCUAGGGUUUCUAUCAGUUUGUCAGGCAUGUGGGUGUGCAUAUGGUCAUGACCUGGCGACGCGUGGCGAUGCGCGAGGACGCGUUCGGCUUUCGAGUGGUGAGAAUUACCUCGAGGAGGUACAAGGACAAGCAAGGCUAGGAGGCUACAAUUCGACCAUGUAUCAGACUUAGAUAGCUAAACUCGCUGUGGCAUACGAGGAAUCUUCGGUGUAUUCUGACAUUUCCAUAGAUAGAUGUAGGGGCUUUUUUCUCGAUUGUGUAUUAAUUACUUUAAUUAGUUUCGACUGCACUACUUUUGUUGUACUAUCAUCUAUGCUCCGAACAUUUGUGUUUUAUGGGUUCUUCCCAUUGAU